CCUUCCCCUAGAGGCAUUGAAGAUGUGGCUGCUGUAUCUCGUGUGCCUCAGUAGGUAGCAGAGAGGAAAGAGGCUCUGUUUACACUGUGUUCUGACCUGUGAACAUCUGAAUGAUGAGUAGCCUAACAUU
ensembl:snoRNA Gm22471 small nucleolar RNA SNORA17